UGCUCAUUGUCAGACCUUCACUUUUUCAUUCUCAACCCUCGAUCCCUCCUGCUGGAAUUUCAAACCACUUCAUCAUCUUGGAAUUUUUUUUUUCUUUUUUUCCGAGAAUGAGAGCGAGAGAGAGAAUAGCUAGCCACCAACUUCAGCGUAAGAGCCCCUUACAUACUCGAGCGCGGGUAUUAAUCUUUACUUCUCCAGGCUGAAGAAUCCAGGUUCUUUUAAAGAGUGCCCAUCAGUCCCGUUCUGCAGGCUUUUCAUCAUCUUUGUGGCUGUUAAGCCGUCAGCCCCAGCUGCUCACCGUAGACCAGUCUGCAGGCUCCUGGAGACCACCAGAUGCAGGUUUUAACCCAGAGAAGUUCACAGGAGGAGAGGUGCCCAGCUGCCGUGAGUCACCCUCCCCCUCGUCUCCUCCCCAAAGCCAAAGAACGAGCCCCAGCUUGCUGCUCCGGAAAGCUUCUCUCCUUUAAGGACCCCUUUGUUGCCUAUGCUCAUGGCAGCAGGCACACCAGUCCACCAAGGGCCCGUAAAACUCACGCAGGCUUUGUGCGGGUGACCCCACGGGCCUGUGCCUUAGUGAUCCCACCCUUAAGCCCACAAUGAAACUGUUUCUGGGUUCAGCCAGAAACAGACUGGACUCAGUUUGCCUUGUGAUUUGUUUGUUAGCUUUACAAAUGGCUUUUGAGGCCAGACAACCCCUCCUAACGCCUGCCAGCUUGAUGGGUGGAAGUCCAGGGACUUUCAGGAGGUGUUGGGGGGGGGGCUCUUGGGUCUCCAUGGAGAUUUCAAAACAAUCCCCCUUCAGGAAAAAGCUCUUGCUGGCCUGGAAGGGGGAGCCAGCAUUCAGAUGCAGCCAGGAGGUCCUGGUAGGCAAAGGUGUUUGCCUCAUGCCCUUGCCCACAUGGUCCAGAGCCUGGCUCCUUGCGAAGCUCCGAGGUCAGCGCCUGGGCCCCAACGAUGAACCUGCUCCAGCCACCAGCUUUGGAAGGACAGGAGUUGCUGUCUUCAUUGGCUGGGCAGCUGAAGCUCAGAGAAGGGCCCAGACCUAGAGCAGUACAACAGCCAGGGAGUAGGCCUGUCUGGGAAGUUGCAUGUUUUAUGAACCAUAGUGAAUCGGACCAUAUCUUCGAGUAUCUGAUGCCUCUUGUUCCGAUGAAGGCUGGCCGUUCCAGAUGAAACAGCCGGCACGAUUGACACUGACAUGGUAAAAUACCCUAAGGAAACAUAUUUACCAACGAGUCCAUCUUGAUUCCAUAAGUGUAAUUCAGUUACGUAAUUGUGUAGCCCAGUACAGUGUAGUGGCAGUUUAAGCAGGCAUUUGAAUCGCUCUUUAUGCCCUAAUUUUAGAUUCACUUUUGAUAUUUUUGGGGAAUUAUGGAUCAACCCAAAGAUCGAACACAUGAGUAUGCAGCCCCAAAAUCGUAAGAUAAAAAGUACUAUUGAGGUGUGUCAGGCACUUAAUGAAAAUAUUCUAUUGCGGCAUCUGGAUUUUGUAAGGUGUAGGUAUUUGUCAAGUCUUUCAAAGUCAGGAUUCCUUGUUAUACCUAAUUUUGUACCUGUCUCCUUACAAUCUUUUCCUUAAAGAGGGACCCCAAGACUGUAUAUGUUUCAGGCCCCCACAAAGUUUGGAUCCUCCUCGGGUUUCACCCUGUGCCUCAGCAUUCGAGUGUGUUUGCUAUUGUGCCUGGUCUGGUACCCGCUACCCUCCAUGCACAGCUGCACAGCCAGCCAUGCUGGAAGGUGUCUCCUGGCAGAGGGAAGAGAGGGCCCGAAUACAACAGGCGAUGGUUCUAUCCUGUAAUAGAGCUGGGACCUGCAAACCACAAAGGCGACCCGGUGGGGGCAAAUUCAAUCAGCUGGCUCCCACUUGGGGGAUUGAGGCCCAGGAAUGUUUGGCAAAUAGAAAAAGAGGAGGGGGGUGCAAAGACCCAGAGUGGUCUGCAGUUCCGUGUUUGACCACAAGAUGGAGGUAAAAGAGUGGUCCCUAGGCUCAGUUAGAAAACUCAUUAAGAACUAAUCAAGGUGGAGGGGGGUUUUUCAUGUUUCCUGCCCGAGCCUUCUCCCCUUUGCCAAGCCUCAGUGCACUUACUAUUGUUCCAUUCUUUUUUGGUUGAAGUCGUCACAAAUCUGCGUUUUUGUUUGUUAACUCAACUGUAACCCGCAGUUCGUCUUCUAGACAACUUUUCGUGCUCCUUAUGGUUAAGGAUUAUGUUCUUAUUAACUAUUAUUAGAAGAAUUUUCUGACUCAGACGUUUUAGGACUUAAAGCUAUAGUCUUAGCUCAAUAAUUGCCUGAUUAUUUGCCGCUGUGCUUGGAACUUUCAUUACCUGGCUUCUAUUUUGCUCGCAUUGCUCCAUACCCCCCAGUCAGGGCUCUGUGCAGAACGCUAUCUGGAACACCAGGCCGCAUUCCCAUCUGUCUGAGAGAGAUAUGGUUCCAUCUAGUUUUACAGGGACCCUGUGAAGGUUGAAUUAUUCCUACGUUGACUAUAAACAAACUGAGCGCCUUGCCUACAGAAGACAAUGAUAGAGUCGGGCUUCCUGGAUCCAUUCCUCAAUUUUUCACUGGACACCAUCACUGGCUCCCCCAUGGGACCGUGGCCAUCCAGUAGGCCGGCACCAUUGGCUCACAGUGCAUGUGCAGAAAGCAUGGACUGGUCACCAGCGCUGACCACCUUCUAGACUUCUCUUGAGAACGUUGCCUUUGCUGAGGGUCCUUGACUUAGAUGUGUACUUGGCUCAUGGCUGGGGGCUUUUGCUGGAAAAGCAUGCUAAUCAGAGGGCAAAGGUCACAGCCCCGGCACCAGCCCCAGGGUGGGGGGUAAGGUGGGCUAUCCUGAAUGCACAGAUGCAUGAGCUGCCUCUCCGGUGGUGGGAACUACAGUGUUUGUCUUUGAUGAGUCAUAAGCUUGUCUCAUGACUGAGGUUGAAGAUUACAUCUGUAUAAGGGGACAUACCAAAGCUCACUGGCCCACAUUCACAGCAGCUCUUGGCUGACCCCUCAGUAAAUCUCCCUCACUCCUUGACUCCUCCAGCAUUGCGAUAUCCCAUGGGACAACGGGUGCUUUUUUGAAGCAAGGAGAGGAAUCAGAAACACCAUGGCCUGUUUCCCCUGCAAAGCGCCUACUGGGUCCAGCUCCCAUUGAUUUGUUUUUCUGUCGUGUAUGAGCACCCCAUUCUGGACAGCACCUCCGGUUCUCCAGUUAGGCAGAACAGGAGAAGCGGGGCUGGACAGGGAACUAGGGGACCCCGCUUCAGAUGGCAGCUGUGUGGCUGUAGUAUCAGGACUGAAGGACUCCCCCAAACGACGGGAGAGACCUCCGGUCAAGGCCACACCUUUUCCCAGUGUAGCCCACCUCUGCUGACUGACUCACAAGGGGGUAUUAAGUUUCAGCCCUCUUGUCCCAACUCCACGUGGCUCCAAGGGUCAUUCCAUCUUUCACAUUCCCCAUAGAGUCAGUGAAGCCUGCCCGGAAGACAGCAGCUCAACAUGUUCCUCCAUCCACUCUUGCUUUUUCCCUUCUGGUCCUUGAGGGUGGAUCCCAACAGUUCUCCCAGAUAAACCUUCUGCAUGCAAAACUCCCAUCUCAGAAUCUACCCUCUGGGGCACGCAGCCCAAGACAGUGACCUUGGGAAAGAUAAAGACCCCUCUGAACCGUGGUCAAAGCUAGUUCAAUGCCACCCCUCUGGGCUCAUUUUUCACAGCUGACCACUAAAGAUCCCACCAGCUCUUGGCAAAGAAUCCAAACUUGGAGAAGCCCAAGAGUCCAGUCACAGAGGCAGACUGACACACACAGCGCAGGCCAGGACUGAGACUCCAUGUCUCUCAACCCCAAUUCUAAGGGUGCUGUUGUGGUUUGUUUUCAAGCCCAUCCGCAACUUCCUUCUGAGGAAUCAUUUCUCCCACUCAGUCCCUGCAACUCCAGAGACAGGCCUGGGAGGUUGUCCACUCCCGUUGGAGGUUGUCCAGGAUUGCCCUUCAUUCUCUUUCUUCCUACAGCCAGCCCUGUCCAGUGGAAAUCAAUUCAAGCCACAUAGGCCAUCUUAAAUUUUCUAAUAGCCACACUCAAAGAUAAAAAGACCCAGGUGAAAUUGAUUGCAGUAAUGUACCUGACCCCAUAUAUCCAAAGUGCUGUCAGCUCAAUAACCAAUAGGAAAAUCAUUCACGAGGUAUUUGGUUAUUUCAAAUUCUCUUUGUUCACACUCAGUCUGAAUCUGGCGUGUGUUUGGCACAGCACCUCUUGGCUGGGACGCAUCACACCGCAAGCAUUCAGGAGUCACCGUGGUGACCAUAUUGGACAAAGCAGGCAUGAAUUAUAAGGGAGGAGAGUUGCAGAAGGAGGCAUACAAGAACCUGGGACUUCAAAGCCGACCACUUUUGCUUCGAGGGCGGCUGAGUUUGAAGUGUGAACUCAAAGUUUCUUGCUGACCCUCAGCUCUCAUUUCUCCAUUGAUAAGAGAUAAUGCUGUACCUGCCUCAAAACAUGGGUAGGGGACUUUAACAAAAUAGCAUCCCUAAAGCACCUGGCAUGUCCAUAGGUUAUCUGAAACCCAUGGCUUUCUUACUUCCAGCCCCCCAAAUUCUACCAGCAGUUAGCAACAUCAGACAGGACCGAGGUUUGUAAGGUUUGAAUACAAUACUACACACAUCCUUAUUUAGAGCUGCACUUGUGCAUCUUGUGCAAAGUCUUGACCAAUUUUCUAAUCCCAAUCAGGGAAGGAAGCGUUUGGAGAGAGAGAGAGAGAAUGCUACGUGUUCCCUUGGAAUGUAAAACAUUUAAUUAGUUGCCAAGGAUUGAAAAUCUUGAUUCAGAGCCCGAAAUGGCUAAUAAGGUUUUAUUGUUGCUAUUACUUAGAGUUUUUAUAGAACUUUAGGCUUGCAGAAUGCUUUUCAAUCACUUGAGAGAAUCUAAGUUUGUUAACAGCAAGAUGAAAAAAUAGUUCUAUUCAUCAGGAAAGACAACAUACAUAAUAUUUUAAGUAUUUAAGAAUUACGACCCUGCUGUGAGAACAUCUGAAAUUACCUCUACGUGGAUGCAAGAGAUUCUGGUUAUAGGCACAGGACAUUAAUACAGAUACCGAUGUUAUUGCCCUGCUGAGUCGGCAAGGGUGAACUUUUGCAAGUCAGGAAAUACGGAAGUUUCUAAAACAAACAUUAGCUAGCUCUAGUUACACACGUGGAGCUUUUUGCCCACACGUAAUUUCUGAACAUUUUUCUAAAGGAGCUCUUAAGGUUUUAUGGGUGAUCAUAUUAUAAAAUCAUACAUAGUUCUAACACAGCAUAAUUUAUGACUGCUCUGGGUCACUGAAAUCUCCCUGGAUUGUGCUGUUGGGGCUGCUGCAAUUAGAGACCAAUUUGCACCAAUUCCUCUAUAAAUAUUAUCGGUGGGGCAGUGUUGGCUGGAAAAUGGAUUUUUCUUUCCACGUACACCAAAGUCAAAUUCAGGCCGUCUGUUGGAUGUAUCCGUUCGCUUCUGCCACAACAGUGCUGCCUACCAACCAACCCAAAGCUCAGCGGCAUAUAACCAUAAGGGCGGAUGCAUUCAGAUGGUUGGCUAGGAGUCUCCGCUGAUCUCAGCUGGACCCACCGACAGCUGCUUGGUGGCUGAGCAACGCUGGCCUCAGCUCUACUCCACUCCACGUUUUUCAUGGUCCAGCAGGCUAGCCUGGGCGCAUCCACACAAUGAUGGCAGAUGCCCAAGAGAGAGCGAACCCCAAUGAAUGAGCCAUUUCGAACCUGCGACGUGCUUGCUUACAGUCCAUCUGGCUGAGCUCAGAGUCCACGGCUGUGGUAAAUCAACCCACCCGCCAGGGAAAGGCCCUGCAAAGUCACAUGGCCAAGGGCACCGACAAAACGAGAGAUGAGAAUCGUGGCCAUCUGUGUAAGCUACCACAGGUGAGAAUGGAUUAGAAUGGUUUUCUUGAAAAGGAAAGAAAGGGUAAAAACAAUAAACAUCAUUGAUGCUUGCAUCCCUUUUGAUUGCAGAAAAGUACUCUCAGCUGGCCACGCCAAGCUUAUGCCAACUCACUUCCCAAGCCCACCUCUCAGAACAGUUCCUAGGCCAGAAGUCAUGCGAAAUUUUUUUUAAAAGAUUUAUUUAGGGGUGCCUGGGUGGCUCAGUGGGUUAAAGCCUCUGCCUUCAGCUCAGGUCAUGAUCCUGAUCCCUGCAUCGGGCUCGGAGCCUGCUUCCUCCUCUCUCUCUG